UAAGGGUUGCUUUUAUGGGUUAAAAUUUGAUUAUGGUUUAUUAAGGUUUAAAAUGAUAUUAUUUAAUUUUAAUUUAUGAUGUAGGCAAUAAUUUUUUACCUUGGCAAUUAAUUGUUUGUAAUAUACUGGUUCCAGAAUAAUCGGCUAUACUAGUAGAACUUAAACUUUAUUUUUGUUGUGAUGUAAAAUUGUUUAAAAUAGAUUUUAGGAAUUUUAGGUAGAAUUAAAAUUUGUUGGUUUGAGUUUUUUAUAUCAUUAAGAUUUUAAAAUACGAAUUAGAUUAGUACCUAAUUAGUGAUAAAUUAAAUAUUCAGGAGUAAAGUUGAAUUUAAACUGAAAGAAUAUUGGCAGAUUGUCUAAAUUAUCUUUGGAGGUUGAAUAGUAAUUGAGAACCCUCAUUAACUACUUGUUUUAUUGGCUCAUGUAUGAUCGUUUAUCUUAAACUUAAGGUUUGUGAGAUUGGAAUUAUACCGUGAAAAUAGAUAUAUAUUUGGUUUAUAUAUAAGUUUGGUUUGACCUACAAUAUUUUGUAUUAUAGAUCGUUAGAGUAGUUCUAUUGUGAAAUUGUAAAAGACAGUAAAAGAGUUUUUAUGUUUCUUUGAAGAGUAUUUAGAAAUGGUACAAAUCAUCCAUCAAUUGCCUAUAGGGGAGUAAGUUGUAGUAAAGUAGAUUUAGGGGAACCUGAAUCUAAUAUUUU
rnacentral:ncRNA from 1 species